UUAUUAUAAAUUAAGAUUUAAAAACUAUAGUAGUAUUAGUUAUGUUCUUGAAAUUAAAAAAAUUUGGCGGUAUUUUAGUCUAUUCAGAGGAACCUGUUUCAUAAUCGAUAAUCCACGAUGGACCUUACUUAAUUUAAUAAAGUUUAUAUACCGUCGUUAUAAAUAUUUUAAAAGAAAAUUAAAUUUUUAAUAAUUAUUAAAAUAAAAUAUAUCAGAUCAAGGUUUAGCUAAUAGUUAAGUGAAAAUGGGUUACAAUAAAUUUAUUUAUAUGAAUUAAAUAAUGAAAUAUAUUUAUGAAAUUGGAUUUGAUAGUAAAAUUAUAGAGAUAAAUAAUUUGAUUAUAGCUCUAAAAUAUGUACAUAUCGCCCGUCACUCUUAUUUAUAAAUAAGAUAAGUCGUAACAUAGUAGAUGUACUGGAAAGUGUAUCUAGAAUG
rnacentral:rRNA from 1 species